UCCAGAUCCCCUCCACCGCUGGCCUCCCUUCCAUCUCCUCUCUUUUCCCCCUCCUCCCUUGCCCCGCCGAUCCCAAUGGCCGCCACGCACAACCGCCCCUCCACGCCCUCACGCACCCUCGCCCAGUCGCCGACCUGCUCCUCUGGAGGCGGAGGAACGCCUCCACGGUGGACGUCGCGGGCGCCACGCACCCUCGCCCAGUCGCCGACCUGCUCCUCUGGAGGUGGAGGAACGCCUCCACGGAGCCCGUCGUGGGCGCCACGCACCCUCGCCCAGUCGCCGAUUUGCUCCUCUGGAGGCGGAGGAACGCCUCCGCGGCGGCCGUCGCGGGUGCCACGCUCAUCUGGUUCCUCUUCGAGUGCGCCGGGUACAGCCUCGCAUCGGUCCUCUCCAACACCGGCCUCCUCCUCGUCGACAUCCUCUUCUUCUAGGCCAAGUCCGCCUCGCUGCUCAACAGGUUUUUUGUUUUCGUCACUCCUUUGUUAUAUGGAAGAAGACUUCAUGGUUUUGAGAUCUUUGCUUUCCCAUGCAACCAGUUUGGUGGGCAGGAACUUGGCAUUGAUAAGGAAAUUGUUCAGAUUGCUCUCACUCGUUUCCAUGCCGAGUAUCUAAUUUCUAACAAGGGUUCUGGUGGCGACGAUGACGGUCGUCGAGAGGUUCGUGGACUGGACGGUGUAGGCCGGACAGGCGCCGCACAUUGACGAGUGGUCCAAUUUUCGGAUCGGGCCAUAACAACUUACGUAGGUAGUUGCUUAUGUAACUGUGCGAUAGAAUGGAAUUAUACAUGAGUUGCUGCUACAAUGAGGAACGUAGUUGCUUAUGUAACUGUGCGAUGGAAUGGAAUUAUAUAUGA